rnacentral:misc_RNA from 1 species
GAUGAAGAACGUAGCGAAAUGCGAUAAGUAAUGCGAAUUGCAGAAUUCAGUGAGUCAUCGAAUCUUUGAACGCACAUUGCGCCCUGUGGUAUUCCGCAGGGCAUGCCUAUUCGAGCGUCAUUUCAACCCUCAAGCUCUGCUUGGUGUUGGGCCCUGCCCGCUGCGGCCGGCCCUAAAGACAGUGGCGGUGCCGCCUGGCCCUGAGCGUAGUACAUCUCUCGCUCCAGUGCCCGGUGGUAGCCUGCCAGAACCCCAACUCUCGUGGUUGACCUCGGAUCAGGUAGGGAUACCCGCUGAACUUAAGCAUAUCAAUAAGCGGAGGA